GUAGUAAUCACCUUUCUUAUUUGGGUACACCUUUGGUUUCUUUGGUUCUGCACUGCUUCUAGUUGUAUUUGAGAGCCUGCACUUUCCACCCUCCACUGCCUCUGCUAGAGGUGUCAUCAGUGCCCUCCUUGUGCUGCUUGUGCCUCUGAGGUUGCUGGUGCCUUGCUGCUUAUGAUGCUGCUGCAGUGUCUGGUGUUGCCACCAGGGUCACCAGACUGUGAGCACUUUUGCUGUUUCUGGAGUAGCCUGGGUCUCAUAUUCCCCUGCUUGCUCUCUGUAGGCUCUUUAUGGGCUUGGGCACCACUACCCUGUGCACCACCUGCACUGCUGUUCCUGGGUUAUCUGGAGGUGCUAGCAGCACUACUGUCAGGGAAGCUGGGUUCACAGGUGUUGUUGCUUUCAGGGACCUGGGUUCUUGUAUGCAGCCCCUGCUACUGCUGAGCUGAUGUUGGGGGUGUCACCACUGGGGGCUGGUUCUCAGGUUCUGCUGUGUUUGCUGAAGCGUCAGGUCAUGGAUGCCACCUGCCACUGCUGAGGGAGGAGUACGGACUAAGUCACAAGUGUUAUUGCUGGCCUUGAAGUCUCUGGUCACUGGCACCCACUGGUGUGCUUUCUCAGACCUCAGGUUAGGGCACCCUGCUUCUGCCAGUGAAAUCCACAUUUUGGUUGCUGUCCCUACUGUUGGAGAAACCAGCUCCACUGUCAGGGAAGGAGGAUGGGGCUGGGUCACUGGCACCACUGUGUGUCCUGAAGCCUCAGGACACAUGUGUCACCUGCCACCUCUGGGAGGGGCAGGGGCUGCAGCCUCUGGUUGCUGGCACUGGUGUGCACAGUGAUAGUCUACUAUGAAACCUGGGAUCAGGGGACCCUGCUCUUGCUUGGGAAACUCACACCUUGGAUGUAGUCUCCACUGCUGGAAAGACUGGUGCCACUGCUAGAUGAGGGGGAGGGGCUUGGGUUGCCAGCUCCACUGUGUCCCCCCUGCUGCUGGAGGGGGGCAGGGGCCAAGCCAUGAGUACCAUGUUUGCCCUUGUAGCCUGUGGUUGCUGGCAUGUGCACUGAUGUGAGGAUCUGUGUUUUGGAUCACCAGUGCCAUUGCUGGUGAGGAGCCGAAGAAUGGAGGAGUAGGUAGGUAAGUUAAAACAAGACAGGGUUCUUUUACAAAAAUUGAGUAGCUUCUUUCUUCAUUUAACAUUCCCCUGGUGGUUGUAAGUUUUUGAUUCUAUUCUAGAGUUCUGAAAAAGUUGAUUCUGAUAGUUUUUUUCCAGCUUUAUAAUUGUUUUUUGGAAUUUCUGACUUCAUUUUCAGUGACAUCAUCAGAUCUGUUGGUUUUGAUUCUAAAAUACCUCUAAAAUAUGACUUCUUUUUAUCCCUCUCUACUGCCAUCACUCUGGGCCAGGCAUUAUCAUUUCUCACCUCAUUGCAGUGGCUUCCUAACUGGUCUUCUGACUCCCACCAUGGUUUUUCAACAAGCUAGAAUGAGAUUUCAAAACACUAAUCUGCUCAGAUCACUCCCUUGCUUAAUGAAACCAUUGUUUUCAGAAAAAGGCCUAAGCUUUCAUCUUUUCUUUCACUCUCUGCGCUUUAGCCACACUCCCUUCUCCUAUGGACUUUGGAUAGAAUCUUCCUUCUGCCUGAAAUGCUUUAUCCAUCAUUUCAUCUUGUUAAUGCCUAUCACCUUUUACGUCUUGGCUUAAGCAUCACUUUCUAGUGGAAGGCUUCCUUGAUCUUCUCAGACAAGGCUCUUAGCACCUUGUAUUUUUCUUUUAUAGCACUUGAGUUAAACGUUCACUUGCACAAUUAUUUGGUUAAUGGCUAUGUCCUUAACUAGGCUGUAAGCUUCACAAAUGCUUUGUUUACCGCUUCUAUUUCCAGUGUUUAACAACCAUGGGUUGAAUGGUGGUCCCCCAAAAUGUAUGCCCAUGUCCCAAUCCCCAGAACCUGUGAAUGUGAUCUUACUUGGAAAAAGGGUCUUUGUAGAUGUAAUUAAGUUAAGAUAGUGAGGUGUGGAGAUCAUCCUGUAUUAUCUGGAUGGGCCCUAAAUCCAACGACUAGUGUCCUUAUAAGAGACAUACAGAGGAAAAGACAAGAGGAGAUAACGUGACCACAGAGGCAGAGGUUUGAGUGAUGUGACCACAGGCCAAGGAACACUAACAGACACCAGAAGCUGGAAAAGGCAAGGAAUGGAUUCUUCCCUAGAAUCUCCCGAGGGAGUGUGGCCCUGCUGACACCUUGAUUUUGGACCUCUGGCCUCCAUAACAGAAAAAAUUUCUCUUGUUUUAAGCCACCUAGUUUAUGGUAACUUUUUACGCCUCCACAGGAAUUGAUGGGCAGCAAAUAUUUAUUGCCUGAAUGAACAAAUAAAAGCUGGAAAUGUUUUAAUUAUUUUGGAGUCAUUAGGCUCAAAAAAAAGCUUUCAGGAUUCUGAGCCAAAUCUAGGCUCAGCAGGAGAAAGUGUUGUGAUUUUUCAGGGAUUGUACUCAUUUAGUUAGGCUAGGUUAAUAGCAAGUUAACCUCCAAGUAGCAGGGGAUUAACACAAUUGAAGUCUACUCUGUGCUCAUGCUCCAUGUCCAACAUGGGUCUGUAGGAGUGGGGGUGGGGGCUGAAGAGGUGACACUGCUCCAGAUAGUCAUUAGGGACACAGGCUGAUCAUCUGGAACACGUGACUUCUCUAGUCACCACAGAAGGCGAACAAAGCACAAGGGGACUUCACGCUGGCUCUUCUCCACUUCAAGCUGGUAGUGACCCUCAUCAAGUCUAGUCCUAGCUCUUUGGCUGUUAUUGGUCACAUGACAACGCCUAACUGGGAGGCCACAGUGCCUAUAGUAGCACGUAGGAAUUGGAUGAACAGAAGGAAUUCUCGGGAGCCA